CCUCUCACACCGCUUGGCAAUUAGUAGGGACUCAUCUGUCACGUUUCAAUAGCAUAAUUCUUCUUCGCUUGGCAUCUAGCUAGCCUGCCAGUACCCGGCCACUUUAUCUCAGAAUAGUAAUCAAGUUGCAUCUAUAUUUUCAGUUAUAUCUUAAGUUCCUGAUAUUCCUGAGAAGGAGUCACUUCCCCGGUUACUUCUAAAAAUGCAGGAAUGGCUGUCAUGCCCGGUAAUACUCAUCAAUUAGAGUGCCUGAGAGUAUCAACCCCUCGCACAUGGUCCCAGCUCAUCUUAAAAGGACAUUUUGGAAGGCAAAGACGUUAAUCUGGUCUCACUUCUCAUUGCCUCCCAGAUUGUUCUUGAGAACAGGACAUUUGCG